CUCAGCUGAAAGAGUUGAUGUUCCCUAUAUAACUCCAUUCAGUCCCUAUGUUCCAAGCUGUGUAGUGAGUGAAUGGCAGAAAUGUUGAGGAGGAGAAAUACCCAAUUCCUUGUUUUCAUUGUGUGUGCCAUUCUCCUUCUAGGAAGGAGUAGCACAGCAAUUCGUCAGCUACCUUCAGAAAAUAAGGCUGAGAUGGAGAAAGCUGUGGAAGAAGGGUGUACUGGUGGGGAAGAGCAAGCAGAAGAGUGUUUGAUAAGGAGAAGUCUUAAGGACCCAAGUAUAGAUUAUAUCUACUCUGCUAGCAAACCAUAGCUCUAAGCUUUUGCAGGGUAUUUGUCUCUUUUGAUGUGUAGUCAUCUGUGAAAUAGAUUAGAAAAGCUAGAGGUUGUAUUUCUGUCUACAUGUUUGGGAUGAAAUGUACAUGGAUUGGAUUGGAGAUCCUUUUCUAUUAAAAACAUUAUAGCUUUUGCUAUGCAUGAUUUCAAAUUUUAAGCUC